rnacentral:rRNA from 1 species
AGAGUUUGAUCAUGGCUCAGGACGAACGCUGGCGGCGAGCCUAACACAUGCAAGUCGUACGCGAAAGGGGAUCUUCGGAACCCCCGGUAGAGUGGCGAAUGGGUGAGUAAUACGUAGGUAAUCUGCCCCGAAGUGGGGAAUAAUCCAUCGAAAGGUGGACUAAUACCGCAUGCCAUCCUUUCCUCACAUGAGGAUUGGAUGAAAGCCCUCGGGCGCUUCGGGAUGAGCUUGCGCACCAUUAGCUUGUUGGUGAGGUAACGGCUCACCAAGGCUACGAUGGUUAGCUGGUCUGAGAGGAUGAUCAGCCACACUGGGACUGAGAUACGGCCCAGACUCCUACGGGGGGCAGCAGUGAGGAAUAUUGCGCAAUGGGCGAAAGCCUGACGCAGCUACGCCGCGUGACCGAUGAAGUUCCUAGGAAUGUAAAGGUCUGUUAGGAGGGACGAACAUCCCGACUUGUCGGGACUGACGGUACCUCCAGAGAAAGCUCCGGCUAACUCCGUGCCAGCAGCCGCGGUAAUACGGGGGGAGCAAGCGUUGUCCGGAUUUAUUGGGCGUAAAGGGCGCGUAGGCGGGAACGUAUGUCGGUGGUGAAAAUUCGGGGCUCAACCCCGAACCUGCCUCCGAAACUGCGAUCCUUGAGUGCAAGAGAGGGAACUGGAAUUCCUGGUAGCGGUGGAAUGCAUAGAUAUCAGGAAGAACACCGGUUGCGAAGGCGAGUUCCUGGAUUGACACUGACGCUGAGGCGCGAAAGCGUGGGGAGCAAACAGGAUUAGAUACCCUAGUAGUCC